rnacentral:rRNA from 1 species
UGCAGUCGACGAUGAUCCCAGCUUGCUGGGGGAUUAGUGGCGAACGGGUGAGUAACACGUGAGUAACCUGCCCUUAACUCUGGGAUAAGCCUGGGAAACUGGGUCUAAUACCGGAUAUGACUCCUCAUCGCAUGGUGGGGGGUGGAAAGCUUUAUUGUGGUUUUGGAUGGACUCGCGGCCUAUCAGCUUGUUGGUGAGGUAAUGGCUCACCAAGGCGACGACGGGUAGCCGGCCUGAGAGGGUGACCGGCCACACUGGGACUGAGACACGGCCCAGACUCCUACGGGAGGCAGCAGUGGGGAAUAUUGCACAAUGGGCGAAAGCCUGAUGCAGCGACGCCGCGUGAGGGAUGACGGCCUUCGGGUUGUAAACCUCUUUCAGUAGGGAAGAAGCGAAAGUGACGGUACCUGCAGAAGAAGCGCCGGCUAACUACGUGCCAGCAGCCGCGGUAAUACGUAGGGCGCAAGCGUUAUCCGGAAUUAUUGGGCGUAAAGAGCUCGUAGGCGGUUUGUCGCGUCUGCCGUGAAAGUCCGGGGCUCAACUCCGGAUCUGCGGUGGGUACGGGCAGACUAGAGUGAUGUAGGGGAGACUGGAAUUCCUGGUGUAGCGGUGAAAUGCGCAGAUAUCAGGAGGAACACCGAUGGCGAAGGCAGGUCUCUGGGCAUUAACUGACGCUGAGGAGCGAAAGCAUGGGGAGCGAACAGGAUUAGAUACCCUGGUAGUCCAUGCCGUAAACGUUGGGCACUAGGUGU